CCAACUCUUAAGUUUCAAUCCAUUCUCUCACCAACAACCAAAAACUCGAAGCUCACGCACAUCCAAGCUAUGCAUGAAGGAAAGCGUAGAAAUGAUACCUAAAUCUCGGCGUUCUCUCAAAUCUGAGAAUCCUUACCCAAACCUAAGCCACCCUUUCUUAGUCUGUCCUUCAACCCCAGUCCUUGUUCAUCUUUUAUGCUCCUCAUUUUCCGAUCAAAUUCGAUCACACUUAAUGGAGCCGAUGCCGUUCUCCUCCUUCCUUGCCAUCUUCGAGAAGAAGACCACCAAAAUCUAUCUAUACCGCCCACUCGGCAACUACAUGGCUUUCAAUUACUCCGAGCACAAGGCCCAGAACCUCGAAGACAACCUCCAAACCCUAAAGUUCUAACUUAGAGCGCCAAACCCGAGCCACGCAGGUUAGAUUCGCACCCUAAAUUCUCAUCCUUCAUCUACAAUUCAAUAAGAAAUUCUUCAAAGUGGUCAAUUUUAUUCUAUUUACGUUUUUAGGGUUUUAAUCCCAAUUUUCAAUUGAGUGAAUCUAUCUAUUUAUGUUUCUAGUCGUUCAGAUCCAGUGUUCGAAAAGGCUUCUCUCCCACCUCUGGGAUCUUUGCCUCCUUCACCCAAUUUUGUUAAAGGCUUGAACACCUUGAGCUACGUUGGUGUAUAUCCUUUCUUUCUAUUUUUGCUUAGGACUAUGAAAGUCACUUGGCCUGAGUUCCGCUUUCCAAUGUGGGUGCCCUGAGGUGGGUUUCGAAUGUGUAUAUGGACUCAUGUCAACUUGUCAAGGCAAAGGUUCAAGAGGAGACGAGAAAGAAAGCUCAAGGAAAUGAGGUUGACAGUGUCAACAAACAUGGAAUUCUCCUAGAUGUUGUCCAAGUGCUUGCAGAUGUGAACCUUGUAAUAACAAAAGCUUAUGUCUCAUCUGAUGGAGUAUGGUUCAUGGAUGAUGGUAGACAGUGCUGGUGAAUCAGAGACAAGAACAUGAUCAAUUAUAUACAAAUUCUGCAGACAUCUUGCUCCAUUAAUGGCUUCAUUUCCUUAGCAGCUCUUGUUUGCUCCAAGCAUCAUGCUAAGUACUGUAACUGUGAAUUUUUACUCUUUCCCUACUUGUGGUUGUUACUUAAAUUUUUAGUGUGUUUAAUGUCAAGGUAGGACCUGCAAGAUUUCAUUGAUUAUUUCUUAGUCUGAGAUUAUGGUAAAAAAGAGAACAGAUAUUUUGGAAAUUCUGUAACUAUAGAAAUUAUUUCCAGCUUGCAAGCUUGUUGCAUUGUUUUUGGUAGCCGGGUUGUGGUUUUGCGCUUUGUGAUAUUUUUGUUUCUUUUCUUGAAUAUGAUAAUCCUUGGCAAAUUAUCAUUUCUAGCUUCACUUUUUGCGCACACAGUUAGCUUUGUUAAUUGAAUGUCUAUAGUUAUAAUGUAAACAAGUAUCAAUCCUUGUUCUGAGCAUAAGGCAGCUGCAAUGUGAUCUGUGGUUUUGUACUAAGUUUCGCUCUUGAAAUAUGUCAUCUUUGCUAAAUUUCUGUGUUUGUGUUGUCUGCAGAUUGCAAGAAUUAUAUGGAACAAUGGCUGUCUUCUCUUCAAAACUUUGAUGCCUCAAUUAGCUGAUAUAUCGGGAGGAUUAUCCGCUUGAAGAAUCAGAGCUGUUACAUAAUUGGCUAAAUUAAAGCUUCUGCUACAUAUCGCUCUAGAUUAGUAUAGUUACUCUAGAUAGUAUUUUUUUGCCUGAUGUUUAUUGAGCUGAUGCUCAUUAGGUUUAUGUAUGAAACAAU